UACGGGGGGGGCAAGCGUUGUUCGGAAUUACUGGGCGUAAAGGGCUCGUAGGCGGCCAACUAAGUCAGACGUGAAAUCCCUCGGCUUAACCGGGGAACUGCAUCUGAUACUGGAUGGCUUGAGUUCGGGAGAGGGAUGCGGAAUUCCAGGUGUAGCGGUGAAAUGCGUAGAUAUCUGGAGGAACACCGGUGGCGAAGGCGGCAUCCUGGACCGGCAUUGACGCUGAUGAGCGAAAGCUAGGGGAGCAAACGGG
rnacentral:rRNA from 1 species